UAACCGCUGCGUUUUGCAGAGGAAAGUCCGGACUCCUUCGGAAAUGAUGCCGGCUAACGGCCGGGCGUUCUCAUUGUAAAGUGUGAACGACAGACAGCACAACAGAAAAUAAACCGCCGGUAAAACGGUAAGGGUGAAAAGGCGGGGUAAGAGCCCACCGCGUAUUCGGUAACGAAGCGGCAGUGUAAGCCUCAUCAGGAGUAAAAUCGAGCAGUAAAGGAUAUCCGAUCCUUCAUUUACGGGUUGAUUGCAUAAAUUGUUGCAGUAAUGCAUCAAUAAGAUAGAUGGUUACCCUGCGUAUGCAGUACAGAAUCCGGCUUAUAACUCUCUUU
rnacentral:RNase_P_RNA from 1 species